GAUGAACGCUGGCGGCGUGCCUAAUACAUGCAAGUCGAGCGAACGGACGAGAAGCUUGCUUCUCUGAUGUUAGCGGCGGACGGGUGAGUAACACGUGGAUAACCUACCUAUAAGACUGGGAUAACUUCGGGAAACCGGAGCUAAUACCGGAUAAUAUUUUGAACCGCAUGGUUCAAAAGUGAAAGACGGUCUUGCUGUCACUUAUAGAUGGAUCCGCGCUGCAUUAGCUAGUUGGUAAGGUAACGGCUUACCAAGGCAACGAUGCAUAGCCGACCUGAGAGGGUGGUUGGCCACACUGGAACCGAGACACGGUCCCGACUCCUAAGGGAAGCAGCCGUAGGGAAUCUUCCGCAAUGGGCGAAAGCCUGACGGAGCAACGCCGCGUGAGUGAUGAAGGUCUUCGGAUCGUAAAACUCUGUUAUUAGGGAAGAACAUAAGUGUAAGUAACUGUGCACAUCUUGACGGUACCUAAUCAGAAAGCCACGGGUAACUACGUG
rnacentral:rRNA from 1 species